rnacentral:rRNA from 1 species
UACAGAGGUCUCGAGCGUUAGGCGGAAUCACUGGGCUUAAAGCGUGUGUAGGCGGGUCGUUAAGUGCCUUGUGAAAUCCCAUGGCUCAACCAUGGAACUGCUGGGCAUACUGGCGAUCUUGUGCCACCUAGGGGCGAGCGGAACAGAUGGUGGAGCGGUGAAAUGCGUAGAUAUCAUCUGGAACGCCAAUGGUGAAAACAGCUCGCUGGGGGUGUGCAGACGCGUGGAGACACG